GACGGAGGAUGCAAGCGUUAUCCGGAAUGAUUGGGCGUAAAGCGUCCGCAGGUGGCAGUUCAAGUCUGCUGUCAAAGACCGGGGCUUAACUUCGGAAAGGCAGUGGAAACUGAACAGCUAGAGUAUGGUAGGGGUAGAGGGAAUUCCCGGUGUAGCGGUGAAAUGCGUAGAGUAUCGGGAAGAACACCAGUGGCGAAGGCGACUCUACGUGGGCCACAACUGACGCUGGAGGGACGAAAGCUAGGGGAGGCGAAAGGG
rnacentral:rRNA from 1 species